rnacentral:rRNA from 1 species
GAUGAACGCUGGCGGCGUGCCUAACACAUGCCAGUCGAGCGAAAAGACGAUGAGCUUGCGCCCCUAACGUUAGCGGCGGACGGGUGAGUAACACGUGGAUAACAAACCUAUAAGACGGGGAUGACUUCGGGAAACCGGAGCUAAUACCAGCGCAUAUAUUGAACCGCAGGGAGCAAUAGUUAUAGGCGGCUUUGCUGACACUUAUAGAUGGAUCCGGGCCGGAUUAGCUAGUGGGUAAGGUAACGGCCUACCAAGGCAACGAAGCGUAGCCGACCUGAGAGGGUGAUCGGCCACACUGGAACUGAGACACGGUCCAGACUCCUACGGGAGGCAGCAGUGGGGAAUAUUCGGCAAUGGGCGCAAGCCUGACGCAGCCACGCCGCGUGAGUGAAGAAGGCCUUCGGGUUGUAAAACUCUUUUGUUGGGGAAGAAAAAAUGUGUAAGAAACUAUGCCCGUUUUGACGGUACCUAAAGAGAAAGCCCCGGCUAACUUCGUG